UCUGGGCGUCACUGGUGAGUCUUGUGUGGACGAGGCGCGUUUUUGGCGUAUUAAAUUUUAAACCUGAUGCUUUUUGUUAUUCAUUAAUCAUGUGUUUCUUUGUCUAAUACGUUUUCCUAUUUAUUUGUAUUGUAGUCCUGUAAUAUUAUGUUGUCAUUUCUAUGUUAUAUUUAACAUUGCCAUAAAAGUGCGAGGUUUGGCAUGCCACAAAACUAGGUUCAACCCACCAUUUUUUCCUUUAAAAAUGUCCUGUACCAAGUCAGGAAUAUGGCCAUUGUCAUAUUAUAGUUCGUUUCUGUGUGUGUUACAAUUUAACGUUGCGUCGUUUGUUUUCUUUUAUUUUUGAGUGUAAAUUGACAUUGUGAUAAGACGUGUCACGGUACUUGUCUAUCCCAAAUUCAUGUAUUUGGUUUUGAUGUUAUAUUUGUUAUUCUCGUGGGAUUUUGUCUGAUGCUUGGUCCGUUUCUGUGUGUGUUAGUUACAUUGUAGUGUUGUGUCGUUGUUCUCCUCUUAUAUUUAUGCGUUUCCCUCAGUUUUAGUUUGUUACCCCGAU
rnacentral:lncRNA from 1 species